rnacentral:rRNA from 1 species
ACUCCUACGGGAGGCAGCAGUGGGGAAUGAUUGCACAAUGGGCGCAAGCCUGAUGCAGCCAUGCCGCGUGUAUGAAGAAGGGCCUUCGGGUUGAUAAAGUACUUUCAGCAGUGAGGAAGGUGGGUAUGUUAAUAGCAUAUUCAUUUGACGUUAGCUGCAGAAGAAGCACCGGCUAACUCCGUGCCAGCAGCCGCGGUAAUACGGAGGGUGCGAGCGUUAAUCGGAAUUACUGGGCGUAAAGCGCAUGCAGGUGGUUUGUUAAGUCAGAUGUGAAAGCCCGGGGCUCAACCUCGGAAUUGCAUUUGAAACUGGCAAACUAGAGUACUGUAGAGGGGGGUAGAAUUUCAGGUGUAGCGGUGAAAUGCGUAGAGAUCUGAAGGAAUACCGGUGGCGAAGGCGGCCCCCUGGACAGAUACUGACACUCAGAUGCGAAAGCGUGGGGAGCAAACAGGAUUAGAUACCCUGGUAGCUACGAGU